rnacentral:rRNA from 1 species
UGGCUGCAGUAUAAAUAACUGUACAAAGGUAGCAUAAUCAAUUGAUUUUUAAAUGAAAUCUGGAAUAAAAGAAUUAAUGAAAUAUAUACUGUCUCAUAUAUAUAAUAUAAACUUAAAUUUUUAAUAAAAAUGUUAAAAUUUAUUUAUGGGACGAUAAGACCCUAUAGAAUUUUAUAUUAAAUUAUUUUUAUAAAUAUAAAAUAUAAAAUUUAAAUUAAUAUUUAAUUGGGAGAAUUAUUAAAUUUAAAAAAUUUUAAUUUAAAAAAACUUUAAUUAAAGAAUAUAUCUUGAUCUUUAAAUUAAAAUUAAUAGAAUAAAUUACCUUAGGGAUAACAGCGUUAUAUUUUUUUAUAGAUCACAUAGAAAAAAAUGAUUGCGACCUCGAUGUUGAAUUAAGAUAAAUUUUAAAUGUAGAAAUUUAAUAAUUAAGUCUGUUCGACUUUUAAAAUCUUACAUGAUUUGAGUUCAAAUCGACGUAAGUCAGAUUG